AGAGAUAUGGAGGAACAUCCAGUAGUGGAAGGCGGACUUUCUGGUCUGUAACUGACAAUGAGGCGCGAAAAGCGUGGGGAGCAAACAAGGAUCAGAUACCUUGGUAGUCCACGCCGUAAACGAUGAGUGCUAAGUGUUAGAGGGUUUCCGCUCCUUUAGUGCUGAAGUUAACGCAUUAAGCACUCCGCUUGGGGAGUACGGCCGCAAGGCUGAAACUCAAAGGAAUUGACGGGGGCCCGCACAAGCGGUGGAGCAUGUGGUUAAUUCGAAGCAACGCGAAGAACCUUACCAGGUCUUGACAUCCUCUUAAAACCCUAGAGAUAGGGCUUCUCCUUCGGGAGCAGAGUGACAGGUGGUGCAUGGUUGUCUUCAGCUCGUGUCGUGAGAUGUUGGGUUAAGUCCCGCAACGAGCGCAACCCUUGAUCUUAGUUGCCAUCAUUAAGUUGGGCACUUUAAGGUGACUGCCGGUGACAAACCGGAGGAAGGUGGGGAUGACGUCAAAUCAUCAUGCCCCCUAUUACCUGGGGUACACACGUGCUACAAUGGACGGUACAAAGAGCUGCAAGACCGCGAGGUGGAGCUAAUCUCAUAAAACCGUUCUCAGUUCGGAUUGUAGGCUGCAACUCGCCUACAUGAAGCUGGAAUCUCUAGUAAUCGCGGAUCAGCAUGCCGCGGUGAAUACGUUCCCGGGCCUCGUACACACCGCCCGUCACACCACGAGAGUAUGUAACACCGGGAGUCGGUGGGGUAACCUUUUUGAGCCAGCCGCCUAUUUUAGUUUCCACUGGGCAA
rnacentral:rRNA from 1 species